UUCCAGACUCCUACGGGAGGCAGCAGUGGGGAAUAUUGCACAAUGGGGGAAACCCUGAUGCAGCGACGCCGCGUGAGUGAAGAAGUAAUUCGUUACGUAAAGCUCUAUCAGCAGGGAAGAAAAUGACGGUACCUGAGUAAGAAGCCCCGGCUAACUACGUGCCAGCAGCCGCGGUAAUACGUAGGGGGCAAGCGUUAUCCGGAUUUACUGGGUGUAAAGGGAGCGUAGACGGCAGCGCAAGUCUGAAGUGAAAUGCCGGGGCUAACCCCCGGCGAGCCGUUGAAACUGUCGGACUAGAGACGGCGAGAAGUACGCGGAAUGCGCGGUGUAGCGGUGAAAUGCAUAGAUAUCGCGCAGAACUCCGAUUGCGAAGGCAGCGUACCGGCGCCGGACUGACGCUGAGGCACGAAAGCGUGGGUAUCGAACAGGAUUAGAUACCCGAGUA
rnacentral:rRNA from 1 species